AAAAAAAAAAAAAAAAAGAGAGAGAGAAAGAAAAAAAAAAUGUAGAGAGCAAAACAAUGCGGGGAGAUCUGGGCUGCAGGGCGCCCGGCGGGGCGGGCAGCUGCAGAGCGGCUCCGGGAGCGGCUGGCCGCUCCGCACGGGCACGGCAGGGACAGGGACAGGGCGGGGGGCACGGCUGCCCACAGCCCUGAGUGCCGCCGCAGGAGCCACGAGCUGCAAUAUUUUGCCAGUAGAGAGUUUUGUCUGAGAAGUGAAUUUUCUUAUACAGACCAUACCACCAGUCACAUCAGAGUUCCUGACAAUCAAAGGCAGAGGUGAAGUUGAAAAUACAAAGUCCUGAUCUUUCUGGACAGCAAAGACUCCUCUUCUUGCAUCACUAUGCCUAUGGCAGAUCAGGCUCUUUAUCUCCUCCUGAAACAUGGGAACUGGAGCCUCUCUGCUAUCCUGCACUUCUCCCCACCUGGGGCUCUUCAGCAACACCAGUAGCAGGCGUUUCUUCCCUGCUAAAUGGUCAACACCUUCAGUCCAUUAAUGAGGGAUACCACUUGGUCACCUCAAAGCUCACAUCACUGCAGUGUGAGCAGAGCUGGCAGAAUUCUGAACCCAGACUGGAAGGUAUGUCCCUUCAGUUCUGUAUUACUAUUGAUGGUGAUCCUGGAUGUCACAUGGAUCUCUGAGGGCCUCUGAAGUGCUACCAUAACUUUUCGUCAUCAUCCAUAUAUCAACAACAUCACCAUGGCCCCAAGCUUCCAGAGUUCAAGAAGCUUUCGGACAACGCUCUCAGAGAUAUCAUUAGAAUUUUGAUAGAUCCUAUGUGGAGCUAGGAGUUAGAAUCAAUGAUAAUUGUGGGUCCCUUCCAACUGGGAAUAUUCUAUGAUUCUAUGAUUUUGAAAUCUAACAGAAUCUUGCUUAUUUUAACUUAUUCUCAUUCCUAUCACAUGGAUGUUUCCCCCAUACAGGACAGGAAGAGAAAGUCUAUAUCCUCAGCUUCAGUGAACCGAUUCCUCAGACCUUGCUAGUAUGCUAGCAAUUUGCUAACCUCUUUGAGGAAAGACAGUAUAGGCUUUGGUGAUCUGCAUGGCCAGUUUUUUCCACCUAGCAUAAGAAAAUACCAUUUUGAAUGAGUUUCAGCUUUUGCAGCUCUGAGCAUUGAGCCCCAGGACUGCAGAUGCCCUUCUGAGCUGCUUCCUCUGAGUAUUGCACACAAGUUCCCCCUGAAAACACCAACAGAUGCUGGCACAAGAUAGACCCUGCAGUUGGUGCAGUCUGUGAAUAUCUGGUACUGCGUUCUCCAAUGCACUGUGACCAGACCUUGUAAAUGACAUCGUCUCCAUAACUAUAAUUUGUUUCAUGUGCAUUACGCCAUGGAAAAGGGCAAGACUAUCUACCACAGGUUGCAUUCUGCUUUCUUGACAUAAGUAGGCAGGUUUUUCUAUUGAUUGCUGUAGGAAAGAUAUUCCAAAGUGUGAGCAGACCCAGGAGAUCAUGAAACCCUGAUCCUGCACUUAGUUCUACAAGCUCCACUGAGCACAGAGAGGCUGUGCGUGGCUGCUAGUUUCUUUCAAAGGGCCGAUGUCGACAUCAGUACGUGCCUUGGCACGUGUUGUAGGUUAUGCAGUAAGUUUUAGUUUAGCACUGAAACUACUUUGAGGCUUUAUUCUAUUUUUGGCCCAUUUUUCCCAUUUCUUGUAUAUACAACUGCUGGAUUCUAUCGUACUGUAUCAGACAAUAAAUUGGAAUUCAAAGGCA
rnacentral:lncRNA from 1 species